UUUAACUUUAAUAAAAUUUAACGUUGAAAAUAUCUAUCAAAACAUUAUACAAUUAAUUAUCUUCCUCAAUAUUAACUUAUUUACAAAACUGUCACCAUUGUAGUUUUGCCAAUUAAAGUCUAUCCAUGCAUAGUGUAUAAAAAACUGAACCAAAACAAUAUAAUGCAUGUGGCCUUUAUGAGGCAUUAUUGCCAUGUUCCUUUAUCAAAUUAGUUCCAAAUUGUUAGACAGAGUGAAAUAUAGUAAGUGCUCAAUAUAGGAAAUUCCAACAAGAAUACAAAUUCUUGGCAAUGCUGUGUUGUUAUUUUGCAUGCCAUCUAAUGGAUAAUUUGAUAAAACAAGAUUUUGCUUAUAUUAACCCAUUAAGCGCCAGCGCUCUCCCCUUGAUGAGUAAAAUUGUCUGGCGUUAGACAGAGUAAAAUACUAAAGUAGGGUGCAUCAGGGAGCAUUGCCACUCAAUGGGUUAACUAGACACAUGGGCAGAUAGGCUAACUAGUUAACCCGGCCAUUAAGCGCCAGCGCUCUCCCCUUGACGAGUAAAAUCGUCUGGCGUUAGACAGAGUAAAAUGCUAAAGUAGGGUGCAUCAGGGAGCAUCGCCACUGAAUAGGUUAACUAGACAUAUGGGCAGAUAAGCGGGUUAACCCAUUCAGCGCCAGCGCUCUCCCCUUGACGAGUAAAAUCGUCUGGCGUUAGACAGAGUAAAAUGCUAAAGUAGGGUGCAUCAGGGAGCAUCGCCACUGAAUAGGUUAACUAGACAUAUGGGCAGAUAGGCGGGUUAACCCAUUAAGUGCCAGCGCUCUCCCCUUGACGAGUAAAAUCGUCUGGCGUUAGACAGAGUAAAAUAAUAAAGUAGGGUGCAUCAGGGAGCAUCGCCACUGAAUAGGUUAACUAGACGUAUGGGCAGAUAGGCGGGUUAACCCAUUAAGCGCCAGGCUAGCGCUCUCCCCUUGACGAGUAAAAUCGUCUGGCGUUAGACAGAGUAAAAUGCUAAAGUAGGGUGCAUCAGGGAGCAUCGCCACUGAAUAGGUUAACUAGACAUAUAUGGGCAGAUAGGCGGGUUAACCCAUUAAGCGCCAGCGCUUUCCCCUUGACGAGUAAAAUUGUCUGGCGUUAGGCAGAGUAAAAUACUAAAGUAGG